GAGUUUGAUCCUGGCUCAGAACGAACGCUGGCGGCAGGCUUAACACAUGCAAGUCGAGCGAGACCUUCGGGUCUAGCGGCGGACGGGUGAGUAACGCGUGGGAACGUGCCCUUCUCUACGGAAUAGCCCCGGGAAACUGGGAGUAAUACCGUAUACGCCCUUUGGGGGAAAGAUUUAUCGGAGAAGGAUCGGCCCGCGUUGGAUUAGGUAGUUGGUGAGGUAACGGCUCACCAAGCCGACGAUCCAUAGCUGGUUUGAGAGGAUGAUCAGCCACACUGGGACUGAGACACGGCCCAGACUCCUACGGGAGGCAGCAGUGGGGAAUCUUAGACAAUGGGGGCAACCCUGAUCUAGCCAUGCCGCGUGAGUGAUGAAGGCCUUAGGGUUGUAAAGCUCUUUCAGCUGGGAAGAUAAUGACG
rnacentral:rRNA from 1 species